AAUAAUUUGGCACUUAGUCAUGAAUUAACACUUAAUCUUUUAUUAUUAGUUUUAAAACCCACACAAAUGCAUUGUAAAUACACUGUUCAGCUGAACACGUAUAAUAGAAACUUCUUGAAGUUAAAUGCGUUUCUGAGCUCCAUCUGGACAGACAUCCUGGACACGGGGAUAUUUGGGUUUCUUCGGUCAUCUGUCGCAGCCACUCCGCUGUGACAGAUAAUCUAUCAGACUCUGAAAAGUGAAAUAACAGUUUCAAAUGGAGUUUCUAUGUACAGUUUGUAAUGAAGUGGGCCUUCUCCUACCGAGAGCUUCUUAAUCUGGCACCGCGCCACGUCAUCCAGCAUGUCCCAGUUAAUGUCAUCUUUAGUCUCUUCAGAAAAGCUCACCAUCUAUGAAGAGAAACACUUGACUUGUGAAAAACAUCAAUGUCUAGAAUCUGUUAAACCACAGGACCUCAGCUCACAUAAGGAACACUUUAUUCAAAAAUCUGACUCCAUACACUGAACUCAAGAACAAGGACAAACUCCUUAGUUUUAGGCCAAGUUUGACUCUGAAAUGUAGAGAAAGAAAAAAAAAAAAAAAAAGUACCAGCCCCUGUGCUGUGGUUACAGCGAUAUGUGCAGUAGAGCCUGCUGUAGAACAGUGCAGAUCACCAGCAGAGACCACAGACCUGCGGGUCAACACAGAACUCACAUCAGUGCAUUUUAAUGAGAGCUGACAGUAUUUGUACUCGCCAACUAUUUAAAAACAACGUAGGAGCUAAACUUCACAGUUUAGAGCAUUAAAAAAAUAAAAUAAAUAGUUUUAGCCAGAAACAAAACAUAUGCAGUACAUGUUUCUGAUCGAACAAAGGCGUCAAACAGACCUGAGUUUAAGUCUGGACUGGCUCAGCGGGGACAGGUCGUUGGUCUUGCAACUUGCCAAGCGGCGAGUUCUCUUGGUUAUGACUGAGGAGGGUCUGCUGCAAUUAGAGUGCUGGUGUUACAGCUGAACGGCCUUUCAUUUUACCUGGUUGUUUGCAUACUCCACUCCCCGUGUAGAACAAGUGGUUUUUUCCAUGCCAACUAAAAAGCAGCAAUGGCCAACCCCAUGUUUAAAAGUGCUUAGCGAGGGUUUUAUGACCUGCUCAGACUGACGCUGGUGACCAACAAAAAUUCAGUCAGGGGUUCUCUUGGGGGUCUUGGUAUGUUACCAAGGUGGUACCAUCAAAGAGUCAAUAUAUCCUACUAUAUGUC
ensembl:lncRNA